AUCGUACCCCAAACCGACACAGGUGGUCAGGUAGAGAAUACCAAGGCGCUUGAGAGAACUCGGGUGAAGGAACUAGGCAAAAUGGUGCCGUAACUUCGGGAGAAGGCACGCUGAUAGGUAGGUGAAGCCCCUGCGGGCGGAGCUGAAAUCAGUCGAAGAUACCAGCUGGCUGCAACUGUUUAUUAAAAACACAGCACUGUGCAAACACGAAAGUGGACGUAUACGGUGUGACGCCUGCCCGGUG
rnacentral:rRNA from 4 species